rnacentral:rRNA from 1 species
CAUCAGCGGCGAACGGGUGAGUACACGUAGGUGACUUGCCCCGAAGAUGGGGAUACCUCGGGAGGCGGGGGCUAAUACCCAAUGUGCUCGGUGAUUCGGUUGAUCGAGUAAAGCUCCGGCGCUUCGGGAGAGGCCUGCGGCCCAUCAGCUAGUUGGUAGGGUAACGGCCUACCAAGGCAGAGACGGGUAGGGGGCGUGAGAGCGCGGACCCCCACACUGGCACUGCGACACGGGCCAGACUCCUACGGGAGGCAGCAGUAAGGAAUAUUGCGCAAUGGACGAAAGUCAGACGCAGCGACGCCGCGUGGGCGAUGAAGGCCUUCGGGUUGUAAAGCCCUUUUAUGGGGGAAGAGAAAAAGGACGGUACCCCAUGAAUAAGUCCCGGCUAACUACGUGCCAGCAGCCGCGGUAAAACGUAGGGGACAAGCGUUAUCCGGAUUCACUGGGCGUAAAGAGCGUUGAGGCGGUUCCGUAAGUUGGGCGUGAAAGCUCCGGGCUUAACCCGGAGAUGUCGUUCAAUACUGCGGGGCUUGAGGACAGCAGAGGAAGGUGGAAUUCCCGGUGUAGUGGUGAAAUGCGUAGAUAUCGGGAGGAACACCCGUGGCGAAGGCGGCCUUCUGGGCUGUUCCUGACGCUGAAGGCGAAAGCUAGGGGAGCGAACGGGAUUAGAUACCCCGGUAGUCCUAGCUGUAAACGAUGGAUGCUGGGUGUGGGGGGUGUAAAUUCCCUCUGU